rnacentral:rRNA from 1 species
UACGAAGGGUGCAAGCGUUAAUCGGAAUUACUGGGCGUAAAGCGCGCGUAGGUGGUUCGUUAAGUUGGAUGUGAAAUCCCCGGGCUCAACCUGGGAACUGCAUUCAAAACUGACGAGCUAGAGUAUGGUAGAGGGUGGUGGAAUUUCCUGUGUAGCGGUGAAAUGCGUAGAUAUAGGAAGGAACACCAGUGGCGAAGGCGACCACCUGGACUGAUACUGACACUGAGGUGCGAAAGCGUGGGGAGCAAACAGG